AGAGUUUGAUCAUGGCUCAGGACGAACGCUGGCGGCGUGCUUAACACAUGCAAGUCGAGCGAUGAGAUCCCUUCGGGGAUGGAUUAGCGGCGAACGGGUGAGGAACACGUGAGGAAUCUGCCUUCUACACUGGGAUAACUCCGGGAAACCGGGGCUAAUACCGGAUAUGAAACUCGGUGGCAUCACUGAGUUUGGAAAGUUUUUCGGUAGAAGAUGACCUCGCGGCCUAUCAGCUUGUUGGUGAGGUAACGGCUCACCAAGGCGACGACGGGUAGCCGGCCUGAGAGGGCGACCGGCCACACUGGGACUGAGACACGGCCCAGACUCCUACGGGAGGCAGCAGUGGGGAAUAUUGGGCAAUGGGGGAAACUCUGACCCAGCGACGCCGCGUGCGGGAUGAAGGCCUUCGGGUUGUAAACCGCUUUCAGCAGGGAAGAAGCGAAAGUGACGGUACCUGCAGAAGAAGCACCGGCUAACUAUGUGCCAGCAGCCGCGGUAAUACAUAGGGUGCAAGCGUUGUCCGGAAUUAUUGGGCGUAAAGAGCUCGUAGGUGGUUCGUAACGUCGGGUGUGAAAAUCUGGGGCUCAACCCCAGACCUGCAUUCGAUACGGGCGAACUAGAGUGUGGUAGGGGAGACUGGAAUUCCUGGUGUAGCGGUGGAAUGCGCAGAUAUCAGGAGGAACACCAAUGGCGAAGGCAGGUCUCUGGGCCAUUACUGACACUGAGGAGCGAAAGCGUGGGGAGCGAACAGGAUUAGAUACCCUGGUAGUCC
rnacentral:rRNA from 1 species